rnacentral:rRNA from 1 species
AGUGAACGCUGGCGGCAUGCCUAACACAUGCAAGUCGAACGGCAACACGAUAAGAUUGUGCCUCUACCGGUGGCGGCUGACGGGUGGGUGACACAUAGAUAACCAUCUUCUAUUUCGUGGAUGACAUCGGGGAGCGACUUAAGCUCAUACCGCAUACGACAACCGCGUGAAUGCAUAGGAAAUUCCGACCUUGCGCGAUCGAAUGAGCCGAUGCCGGAUUAGCUAGUUGGCAGGGUAAAGGCCUACCAAGGCAACGAUCCGUAGCUGGCCUGAGAGGGUGAUCAGCCACACUGGAACUGAGACACGGUCCAGACUCCUACGGGAGGCAGCAGUGGGGAAUCUUCGGCAAUGGGCGAAAGCCUGACGCAGCAAUGCCGCGUGGGUGAUGAAGGUCUUCGGAUCGUAAAGCUCUGUUAUUGGGAAAGAACAAAUGUGGAAUUAACUACGGCUGUCCUGACGGUACCUAAUGAGUAAGCACCGGCUAACUACGUG